CCUACGGGAGGCAGCAGUGGGGAAUAUUGGGCAAUGGGCGCAAGCCUGACCCAGCAACGCCGCGUGAAGGAAGAAGGCUUUCGGGUUGUAAACUUCUUUUAAGAGGGAAGAGCAGAAGACGGUACCUCUUGAAUAAGCCACGGCUAACUACGUGCCAGCAGCCGCGGUAAUACGUAGGUGGCAAGCGUUGUCCGGAUUUACUGGGUGUAAAGGGCGUGCAGCCGGGAAGACAAGUCAGAUGUGAAAUCCCGGGGCUCAACCCGGGAACUGCAUUUGAAACUGUUUUUCUUGAGUACCGGGAAGGUAAUCGGAAUUCCUUGUGUAGCGGUGAAAGGCGUAGAUAUAAGGAAGAACACCAGUGGCGAAGGCGGAUGACUGGACGGCAACUGACGGUGAGGCGCGAAAGCGUGGGGAGCAAACAGGAUUAGAUACCCGAGUAGUC
rnacentral:rRNA from 1 species